AGACAAACGCCCUCUUCUCUUCUUCUCAAAACGGCGCCGUCGCCUCUUCCCCGACGACUCUCGCCCCUCCGGAGAUCCUUCCAUUCAACCACCAUGACAUCAAACUACCCUCGUUGCCACCUUCUACUCCUAAAUCUAAGCCAUCGAAAAAACCUAAACAUUUAAACGAAAUUAAACAAUCACGACGUCCGUUUUUGUGCAAUCGAUGGAGGGGAAUGACACUAUGAGAUGUACACAAUCAUGAUGAUACAACGAUUUAUGCAACAGAAUGAAGGUUUAGGCUUACCUACCGGAGCAGUUCCGGUGACUCUUCAGUUGCGAUUACGAAGGCAAGAAAACCAGAGGAACCUCGAACUUACAGGUCUAAUAUUGGUAGCAAAGAAGCGUAAUGGAGGCAAAGUGGAGAUCAUGAAGGCAGCUUGGUAGAUUUCGGAUUGCAAGGCCGGUAUCAUUUGCAGAUGGUGACAGGUUGAUGGGCUGCAAUGUACAAGACAGGGACUAGGUCGCGGAGAGGUAUACGAAGGUUUCGGUACAGCCAGAAGUUGACAUGAAGGGCUGAGCUAAGACUGUUUUGAGGUUUGCUCUAUUCACAUGGACAAAAGAUGAUGGAGGAAAGCUUGAAAAAAUAUAUUCAUGAUGAGGUUUAGGGUUAGGAACACCAUAGCUUGUGAUGUAGGUGUAACAAGAUCUUGUAAUGUAUUUUGAAUAAGAUGGUAUAUGAAUAUAUGUAUAACUAGAUAUUUGAGAAUAGACACUUGAUUUUUGGUUUUGAUGAACAUUGUGAAGAAUUUUACCCUUUUAAAUGGGUAUGUCAACUUGUAUCACUUUUGUAUCUUUCACUUUUGUAAUUAAAUUUGGAUUUUUGUA